CUCACGCUCAUGUGAGGCACCAAUAACAUGGGCUAAAUUACCAGCACUUAUUUGCUGCAUCCCCUGCAAGAGCCUGAACUCCCCUGUUUACGGCCAUGCCCUAACAUCCCAUUCUCCCCCAGCCAUGAUCUCAAAUCCGGCACUUUGAAAACCCUCAUCCUGCUUUUCUCACAAGAUUGUGAGGAUUCACCUGUGGAUUAAAUGGGGACAACAAAAAAGAACAUCUUUUCCUGAGUGGGAUUUAACAUCAACUGGGUGAAACGGUCCAAAUAAGAUUGGGAUACACAAGCGAAAUCAAAGGACACUCGGCUGAAGUACCACCAUGGCUCAGGCAACUAAAGGUCCCGUGGUGAAGUCCAUCCCUCCCACUGGUGUAGCUGCCCCGGCUAGAACAGCACACACAGACUCACUUACUGCCGGGAGCCAUGGAAUUUUACGAAUCAUGAAUCGCCCGGCACAGUGGGUGGUCAUCAUCACACUUCUGAUUUCUUGGUCAAUAGCAGGUGUUGUCAUGUUUGAUUUUGUCAGUGACGAUCAGAUUGCAAGCAUCCAGGAUUUUGGCUCUGAUCCAGUGCUAGCAGUGAGCAAGGCCAUCGAAGGCAUUGAAAACUGGAUAAACCAUAUGAACGAUAUGCUUUAUGAUGCUCACGAGUACAUCACUGAAAUAAUAUUUAAUCCGAGGGAAGCUAUUAGUUUAGCAGCUGACUCAUCUGUGUCUUAUCUGUCAGGAAUAUUUAGUGCUGAUGGAGAUUCAGGAGUCACUGAAACAGUGAAAUAUGGUGGCACUGUAUUGGAUGAGGCUACAGAAUGGAUCAGAACCCCAGUGAGCUACUUAUUCCACUUGUUUGAAGACAUAUUGGAUAUAGUGAUUACUCCAGUGGAUAUGGUCACUGAAGUUGCUGUGCAAAUUUUAAGUGGGAUCAAGACCAUUAUACAAUAUAUUUCAACCAUGUUUGGGGGCAUUGAAGGGGAUACAGGCAUCACUGAAACAGUGAAACUUGGUGGUACUUUAUUGGAUGAGGUUACUGAAUGGAUCAGAUUCCCAGUGGGCUACUUAUUCCACUUAUUUGAAGGCAUCUUGGAUGUAGCAAUCAUUUAUCCAGGGGACAUUGCCACUGAAGCAGUUCUGCAAAUUUUAAGUGGGAUCAAGACCAUUUCUUCAACCAUAUUUGGAUACCUUGAAGUUUGGUUUCCCAAAAUGAGCACUGGUCCCGCAGAACUGGCUGAAAUUGUUGUAGAGAAGGCCACAGACAUAAAGACCACUGUCUCUAAUUACCUAACCAGUCUGUUUGCAGUGGAUGAAGGUGGUAUUCCUGACAUUAGCUUUGAUCCCAUGAAAGUUGUCACAGACACUGUUGAGGAGUUUGCUGACAGGAGGGAUAUGUUCUUGGCCUAUCUCUCCAACAUGGAAGACAAAGAUGACACACCGCAAGUGAUAAGACGGAAAGGAGAAUUUCUGCCCCCUAUGGAAAAAGUUGCAGAAAUAGUAGGCAAAACACAGGACCCUGCUUAUGCUGCCUACAUUGCUGUGAGAUCCACAGUGAAGGAGACAGACAACACUAAAGUAAUAAAAGAGGUUGAGGAGGAACAUGGUGAGCUGGAAUCUGCUGAAGAUGCAACUGAAAAAGCUCAAGAUAUACAAGUAGAUGUUACAAAGGAGGAAGGAAGAGUUGAACCAGCUGAGGACAGCUCUGAUGUCACAGUUUACGAUGAUGAGGUUGUCUCAGAUGUCAUGGAGGAGGAUAAAACUCCUGGAACAGUUGAAGAUAUUUUGGAUGUUACAGAGGAGGAACCUUCUGUUAUGCCAGAAGUCAUAGAUGAGGAAUUAGCUACUGAAAAGGUUGAAGAUAUCUCUGAUUUCAUAGAGGACAAGUCAGCUAUGAUGGCCUCUGAUGCGACAGAAGACACUGAUGAUGCCUCUGCAGUUACAGAGGAGAAAGAAACAACUGAAACAAUUGAAGAAGCAGCAAUUGAAACAGCAGAAGAUACUUCCAAUAUUACAACCAAAACUGAAUUGAAUACAGAUGAAAAUGAAUUUCAGAAAAUUCCCAAUAUUACAGAGGAGGAUGCAGAACUUGAAACAGUUAAAGAUACUUCUGAUCUCAUAGGUGAGAUAGAAGAACCUGAGACAGAUGAAUAUGCCUUUGCUGUCACGGAAGAAACAGCUGAAGAGUCACUAGAAGAAGAACAGCCACCAGAAUUGACUGAAGCUACUCAAGAUACCAUCUGUGUGAAGGAAAAGAUUGCAGCAAAAGAACUCAAUGAUCAUGAAGUCCCAGGUAAGGAUGAAUUAAAAGAGGAAGAUAAGCAGAGAAAGGAAGAUGUGGCAAUUGCUGAUGCUGAAAACAGCACAAAAAACCUGGAGAAUGAGGUAGAUGAAGAUGAGGUUGAGGUGGAGACUAAAGAUCAAACUAUCUUGGGAACAUCUGCUGGUGAAGAUGACCUUGACAAUGAAGAGGAGCUUGUCCUUUCUCCUGUCCAGCAUGACCUCACAGACAGAAAUGAUGAAAAUAACAAUAACAAUGACAGGAUGAGAGAUGCCAUAAAAACAGGCCUGAGCAGGAGAAAAACAUCAAAGAGCCAUUCCAUUGGCACAAACCACCAAGAAGCACACGAGGAUCUUCAUGAAGAGUCUCACAAAGUUCUUGAACAAGUGAAAGAAGCCAAAGAGAAAAAAGCUAGAGAGGAGAUAUACAAAAUCAUUCAAGAUAUGAGGGAAAAGAAGGCUGAAAGUAAAGAGGAAGAGAUAACACUGCAACGAAUAAACAUAACAGUAGAAAAAGUCAAGAAGAAAAAGGAGAUAGAAAAGGCUAAAAGAAAAGAAAAAUCCAAAGAGGACAAGACUCGAGAACCAACAGAAGCUAAAAUGGCCAAAAAAGAGACCAAACUAGCAACAUCUAAGAAAGAGCCUCGAGUUACAAAAGAAAAGGCUAAACCAGCUCGUUCAAAGAAAGAGCCUGAGGUUUCCAAAGAGAAGGCCAAGCUGAAGCCCUCAAAGAAAGAAGCUAAAGCUCCCAAGGACAAAAUUAAACCGGCCCUUUUGAAGAAAGAGCCUGAUGUUUCUAAGGAGAAAGAAAAACCACCAACUGCAAAGAAAGAAGAAAAGCCAACAACCGCUAAAAAAGAGCCUGCAGUUGCAGAAGAGAAAGUCAAACCAGUGCCCUCAAAGAAAGAUACUAAAGCUAUUAAGGAGAAAGUGAAACCAGCCCCAGUUAAGAAAGAGCCUGAGGUUUCCAAAGAAAAAGCCAAGCCAAAACGUUUAAAGAAAGAGGCUAAAUCUGUUGAAGAGAAGGCAAAACCAGCACCAGCUAAAAAAGAGAAGGAGAAACCUCCAAAGAAAGCUGUAAAAGAAAAGCCCAAACCUGCUUCUGUAAAGAAAGAACCUAAAUUUCCAAGAGAGAAAGCAAAACCUAAACCUUCCAAAAAAGAGGCAGAAGUUGCCAAAGACAAGCAUAAACCUGUCACUGUGAAGAAAGAACCUGCUGUUGCAGUUGAAAAGGCAAAACCGAAACCUGCACCAAAGAAAGUUACCAAAGAGAAAGCUAAACCAGAACCUGCAAAGAAAGAACCUGAGAUAACCAAAGAAAAACCGAGAGCACCAAAGAGAAAGGCUCAAGUUAUUAAGGAGGAAGCUAAACCAGCUCCUGCAAAAAAAGUCUUCAAAGAUGUUAAACCAGCCCUUAAGAGAAGAGAGGCUAAAGUAAUGAAGAAGAAAGUUAAACCGACUCCUGUAAAGAAAGAGCCUGAAGUUGCUAAAGAAAAGGCACCUGAAUCAGCACCAAGAAUAGAAAAGCCAAAGCCAGCACCAAAGAUAGUGGCUAAAGUCAUCAAGGAGAAACCUAAACCAGUUCCUGAGAAGAAAGAAGCUGUAAUCAUCAAAAAGAAAGUUAAACUGGCUCCAGUAAAGAAAGCACCUGAGAUAAUCAAAGAAAAGCCAAAGCCAGCACCAAAGAAAGAGGCUGAAGUCAUCAAAGAGAAAGCUAAACCAACUCCUGAAAAGAAAGUCAUCAAGGAGAAACCUAAACCAGUUCCUGAGAAGAAAGAAGCUGUAAUCAUCAAAAAGAAAGUUAAACUGGCUCCAGUAAAGAAAGCACCUGAGAUAGUCAAAGAAAAGCCAAAGCCAGCACCAAAGAAAGAGGCUGAAGUCAUCAAAGAGAAAGCUAAAGCAACUCCUGAAAAGAAAGAGACCGAAGUCAUCAAGGAGAAAGUUAAACCAGCCCCUGUAAAGAAAGAACCCAAAAUAACUAAGGAAAAGCCAAAGCCAGCACCAAAGAAAGAAGCUUUAGUCAUCAAAGAGAAAGCUAAACCAGCCCCUGUGAAGAAAGAGUCUGAAAUUAUCAAGGAAGAAAGAAAGAAAGCUAAACCAGCUCCUAAGAAGAAAGUGGCUGAAGUCACCAAGGAGAAAGCUAAGCAAGCUCCGAUGAAGAAAGAGCCUGAAGUCACUAAAGAAAAGUUAUUAGAACCAACUCCAAAAAAAGAGCUCCUGAACUCUAUCAGCCAAAAACUGUCUCUUCUGGAUUUACUGAGGAAGGACAUUGGUGAAAUGAAGAGUGAUCUGGAGUCCACUCAAAAUCAAAUUACGCUUUUACGAAUGGACAACAGAACAAUCAAAGAGCCAAAGACUGUUGGUGUAAAGGUAAAACCAGCAGUCUCCAAGGAAAAGGUCAAAACAGCAAAAAAAGACCAUGAUGCUCUGAUGAACGUUACAGCACAUAUUAAAGCAGAAGCUGAAAUCAUCAAAAAGAUAAAAGAUAAAGUUAAACUGGCUCCUUUAAAGAAAGAACGUGAUGCACUGAAAAACAUCACUAAACCAGCACCUGCAAAGAAAGAUAAAGAGGCUCCAAAAGCUAAGAUCAGACCACAGCCCAAAAAGAAAGAAAUCACCCAUGAGAAGGUCAAACAAGUAAAGGAACCUUUACAGAAAGUCGAGCCAACUAAGAAGGAGGCUGUUGUGGGCAAGGAAGUAAAAGGAGAAGAACCUGAUGUCUCCAAAGAUAUUCCAGAGAUGGAGGAUGAGGAUGUUCCCUACUUCCAGUGUUUCUUUGUGGAUGAGGAUGAUACUCAGUAUCCAUUCUUCCCCUUUUCACCACCGCUGUGGUGAAACUAGCCAAACCUCGUAUUCUGAUGUUAAACAACAUGGCAAAGCCAGUGAAGACGGACCUCUGAACGCUCUGAUGCAGUGGAGAGCUUCACAGUAGGUCCUACAGCAUUACACCAGCAAUGACCAAGAAAUGUGAAAGAGAUUUAAGUUACUUCCUGGAUCUUAAAACUCGAAAACUUCCUUCUCAGAUUCUUUGUCAUUUUGAAGAACAGAGUUUGCAAAUAUUGCGCUAUUUAUUAUAUCAUCUUAAGGCUAUCCAUCUUUUUAUUAAUACCAUGGAUUUGCCUUUUGUUUCUGAAUGAUUACUAUCUAUUUAUGAUUAAUAUAUAUGUCCAAGAAGGACAGGAAGAAAUGAAAGAACUAACUUCCUUUCUGAACAUGCAGUGGGGUUCAGGAUUGUAAGAUUAUAUAGUCUUUUAUAUAAACAUGAGGCGUGACCUCGUUUUGAUGGGGUGCUAAUUCUAAGCAUUCCACUGUGUUUUCUGUCAGAAUGGGGUUUGGAAGUUGUUCACGGUUCGUACAACUGGAAGGAAGGAUAUAAUAAAACAAGAAAUAUGUAAACUAUUUCAUAUAUCCUUUCUUAGUGAUACCGUUUACUAAACUGUUUACAGAAGUAACAGCUGCACUGAGAAAUACGGGCUUUGGACCGUAAGCUCAGUUCCUCAGAAUGUAUACAUCAUUUUAUUUAUAUAUUAUUUUUAUUUUGUUUUAUUCCUCUCUCUUUUUUAGCUUUCCAUACAUUUUACUUAAUAUAACUUGCCAAAUGUUUUAUAAAUCUAUACUUCAGAGGAAACAAAUAUGUUUUGUUCAGUGCUCUUUAUAAAUGAUUUUGCAUAACAAAAUUAAGAUAAGCUGUUGUGCUAAAUCCAAGAAAAAGCAUCAAACAUCAAGGCAACUACGUUGUUCUAGUAUAUCACAUUGCAAACACUACUGUUUUUACUUUUAUCUGCAUAACAUUAAUAGUUUAUUUAAGAUAAUGUCUGUAAAAAUGUGGGUGUGUUUUUGCAAUAUUACAUGGAUAGACCUACCUAAUAGAGAAGAGACAAUUAAAUAGCAUUCUGAAUUGUGUAACAAAAAUUGUCUGUUCCACAUUAUACUCAUACAGAAGAUUUUUUUUUAUUAUUAUGGGAUAAUGUGUCAAAUUAAAUUUAUUGCAUGCAACCACCGUGUGUUUCAACACUGCCCCUGGUGGCUCCCUGGCUCAUUACUCCAUUGCUUGAUUUAAUGAUAUUGAGUGUUUAAUGGUAUGUACUAGUGAGACACACCAUUAAACUAGUGUGCCGGUGGGCUGCCCUGGAGACAUUUCUUUUACUGCCACUGUCUUUUCUGUAUGAGUUCAGCAUGUGGCUCCAUUGAACAUAAACUCAUGUCUGUACAAAGAGCUUUUUUACCUCUGAUGUUAAGUAACUUAGGGUGAUCGUACGUUCUGUUUUUCCCAGACAUGUCCUGGCCAGGAUUUCUAAAUUGCCUAAAAUGUCAUUUUUUUGACUUUCUGAAGGUAAUGACUGUAAAGUAGUUUCACCAGCAUGCAGGCAUUGUGCUUAAUCGACCAGUUGUGGCCUGCGAGAAGGUGGGAUCUACAGAGAAGAGUCAAAGCAGUGCAAAUACAUGUACACAUAAUGUCUGAGGACUCUAGAGAGGAAACGCCAAAACCUGGACAUUUUAGGCAAUGUAGAAAUCCCGAUCAGGAUAUGUCUGGCAAUAAGAGGAUGUAUAGUCAACUGUACAAAUACAUAUUGUAGCAAUGCUCACUUGUAACAGAUAUACAGGUCUUUUUUGGACUUUUUUGGACUUUUCAAGUAAAUUAUGAGCUUGUUGGUGUGUUCUCAAGCAAACUGUGAAGCAAUGAAUAACAGCAUUUUUCAAUAGUUCAUAUAGUUCUUUAAGAUAUGUGUACUGUUAUUUUAAACCUAAUUUACAGUUCAUAUUUGAAAAAUGUUCCUCAAAGAUAAUAGUUUGCAUGAUGUUUGCAUGAAUUUUGUUUAAAAAUGUAUCUAAACCAGACCAUAUUUAAUUUGUGUGUGUUUUUAAUUGGAAUUACAUAAUUUCAUUGAAAAUGUAUAAUGUAAUAUUAUAUUCAUUUGGGUUUGUUUGUUUUUUUGCAUGGUUUUGAAGUUAGAUGUUGAAAACAUUCUCUGUACAAUGUAUAGCCAUAAACUGAAAUCAUAUUUAUAAAGCUCUAAACAGAAUCAACAAUAUGGUCUCCAGUCAAAAAAAAAAAGGCCUGUAUGCAACUGUAAAUGCUAUUGUAACUGUAAUACAGACUUGAUACAGUCU
ensembl:lncRNA